GAUGAACGCUGGCGGCGUGCCUAAUACAUGCCAGUCGAGCGAACGGACGAGAAGCUUGCUUCUCUGAUGUUAGCGGCGGACGGGUGAGUAACACGUGGAUAACCUACCUAUAAGACUGGGAUAACUUCGGGAAACCGGAGCUAAUACCGGAUGAUAUUUUGAACCGCAUGGUUCAAAAGUGAAAGACGGUCUUGCUGUCACUUAUAGAUGGAUCCGCGCUGCAUUAGCUAGUUGGUAAGGUAACGGCUUACCAAGGCAACGAUGCAUAGCCGACCUGAGAGGGUGAUCGGCCACACUGGAACUGAGACACGGUCCAGACUCCUACGGGAGGCAGCAAUAGGGAAUCUUCCGCAAUGGGCGAAAGCCUGACGGAGCAACGCCGCGUGAGUGAUGAAGGUCUUCGGAUCGUAAAACUCUGUUAUUAGGGAAGAACAUAUGUGUAAGUAACUGUGCACAUCUUGACGGUACCUAAUCAGAAAGCCACGGCUAACUACGUG
rnacentral:rRNA from 1 species